AACACCUCCAGCCACAACUACAACACCUCCAGCCACAACUACAACACCUCCAGCCACAACUACAACAUCUCCAGCCACAACUACAACACCUCCAGCCCCAACUACAACACCUCCAGGCACUGCAGCAAUAAUAUAUCUAAAAAUGAAAAUCACCACGUAUGGUGAGCUCAGCAAUGGAACCAUCGCUGAGCGUGUCAAUCAGUUCUUUAGAACGGCGCUCCUGAACAGCACAGACUUCACAGUGAAAGUGAAAUCCAUUGAAAGGGUCCCAUAGUUGCCCCAUAGAAGCUCCAUGGGGACAGAGACUGUAAAAAAAACAAUUGUACUGGUGGUAUAGUUUUAACACAAUGUAAAAGGGGAGUUCAUCAUAAUGAUUUUAUUAUAUAUGGAAAGAAAUAUUUGAGUUUUGUGACAGUUAGCUAAACACAUCAGAUGUAAGUGUGCUCCACUGUGCUGCAAAGAUCCACAACAUCUAUUUCCAAACCACCAGAAGUAGCUGGAUGUGCUCAAGGUGCAUGAGAAGGUGUUUUGGGGGAAAUGCAGAAGCUUGGAAGUCCCCUCAUGCACCUUUUAUUUGUUAAAUAACAUGUACAAUAUUUGCAGCACAGCACAGUUGAUUUUACCCUAACUACAACAGCCACUACCCCAACUACAACAAUUUGACUGGAGCCAACACGUCAUGAUGAACUCUGUUUUUUACAUAAUAACUCCAUCAUUCAAUUUGAAAAGCCCCCAGGAACAGACAAUCAAUGAUAAUAAAUACAGGAUGAAAUCAAUAUUUUCAUGUUGGGGUUAUGUUGAACAUCAUGGUGUCAUAUGUGUUCAAGUUCCACUUAAGUAACCUUUUCAUAUGUGUAAAAAUCAAACGCAUACUGUCCUUAAACACUCACUAAUUGAUUCUCAGCAUUCCAUGUGUGAACUACAACUUACAAUAUAAACUGUAAUCUUCAAAAAAUUUAAUUUUUCUGACCAAAAAAAACCAAGACCUUGCAUGAAGACUUUCUCACCAAUCAUUGCAAACUAUGACGAGUUGUAAUUAUUUUUGAAGAACUGGUUUGUCCAUCUCCUGUUUAUUUAUCUUUUCAGUUUUUUUGUUGUGAUAUUUGAUUUCGUUUGUAGUGUUGUGUAUUUUGUAAACAUGCACGUCUGAUAGCUUACCUGGUUUUUCCGGUUAUAUGACCACAGCCUCUAUCACUGCUACCUUGUCACGCUCUCUGGAGCUGAAGGAGGAGCAAAGCACAACUUAAGCACAUUAGUAAUCAAAGAAAAACUACCACUCUGUUUUUGUAGUAGUGAGGAGUAACACCACCCAUCAUGGAAAGAACAAUCCUCUAUUGUAUAUUUUUGCUCGGAUAUUUUCAUGCAUCCUGUGCCCAAGGUCAGCAUUCAUUGCAAUUAUUGUUUGCAUUUUAUGA